AGUGAACGCUGGCGGUAGGCCUAACACAUGCAAGUCGAACGGAAGCACAGUAAGUGCUUGCUCUUACGGGUGGCGAGUGGCGGACGGGUGAGGAAUAUAUCGGAAUCUAAUUUUUCGUGGGGGAUAACGUAGGGAAACUUACGCUAAUACCGCAUACGCUCUACGGGUGAAAGCAGGGGAUCUUCGGACCUUGCGCGAUUGAAUGAGCCGAUGUCGGAUUAGCUAGUUGGCGGGGUAAAGGCCCACCAAGGGGAGGAUCCGUGGCUGGUCUGAGAGGAGGAUCAGCCACACUGGAACGGAGACACGGUCCAGACGCCUACGGGAGGCAGCAGUGGGGAAUAUUGGACAAUGGGCGCAAGCCUGAUCCAGCCAUACGGCGUGGGUGAAGAAGGCCUUCGGGUUGUAAAGCCCUUUUGUUGGGAAAGAAAAGCAGCAGGUUAAUACCCCGCUGUUCUGACGGUACCCAAAGAAUAAGCACCGGCUAACUUCGUG
rnacentral:rRNA from 1 species